UACGAAGGGGGCUAGCGUUGUUCGGAUUUACUGGGCGUAAAGCGCACGUAGGCGGAUUGUUAAGUCAGGGGUGAAAUCCUGGAGCUCAACUCCAGAACUGCCUUUGAUACUGGCGAUCUCGAGUCCGGGAGAGGUGAGUGGAACUCCGAGUGUAGAGGUGAAAUUCGUAGAUAUUCGGAAGAACACCAGUGGCGAAGGCGGCUCACUGGCCCGGUACUGACGCUGAGGUGCGAAAGCGUGGGGAGCAAACAGG
rnacentral:rRNA from 1 species